UUGAGCUUGCCAAAAAGUUAGUUUGGGUUUUUCUGUGUUAUGGAAAAACCCAAAUGGACUUUUUGAUCAAUC
rnacentral:miRNA from 1 species